rnacentral:rRNA from 1 species
AACGAACGCUGGCGGCAUGCCUAACACAUGCAAGUCGAACGAGAACUUCGGGUCUAGUGGCGCACGGGUGCGUAACGCGUGGGAACCUUCCCUUAGGUUCGGAAUAACUCCCCGAAAGGGGUGCUAAUACCGGAUAAUGUCUUCGGACCAAAGAUUUAUCGCCUUUGGAUGGGCCCGCGUUGGAUUAGCUAGUUGUUAGGGUAAAAGCCUACCAAGGCGACGAUCCAUAGCUGGUCUGAGAGGAUGAUCAGCCACACUGGGACUGAGACACGGCCCAGACUCCUCCGGGAGGCAGCAGUGGGGAACAUUGGACAAUCGGCGGAAGCCUGAUCCAGCAAUGCCGCGUGAGUGAUGAAGGCCUUAGGGUUGUAAAGCUCUUGUACCCGGGAUGAUAAUGACAGUACCGGGAGAAUAAGCCCCGGCUAACUACGUG